AUGGUUAUAAAGUAGUUUUCCAAGAAGUCUGGAUAUGCUGACCUCAGCAAUCUUCCCAAAUGUGGGAAAGUCCACUGCAUAAUUUAUGGUAGUGGGGGGCUGCUCCCCUA
rnacentral:snRNA from 14 species